GACGAACGCUGGCGGCGUGCCUAAUACAUGCAAGUUGAGCGCUGAAGGUUGGUACUUGUACCAACUGGAUGAGCAGCGAACGGGUGAGUAACGCGUGGGGAAUCUGCCUUUGAGCGGGGGACAACAUUUGGAAACGAAUGCUAAUACCGCAUAAAAACUUUAAACACAAGUUUUAAGUUUGAAAGAUGCAAUUGCAUCACUCAAAGAUGAUCCCGCGUUGUAUUAGCUAGUUGGUGAGGUAAAGGCUCACCAAGGCGAUGAUACAUAGCCGACCUGAGAGGGUGGUCGGCCACCUUGGGACUGAGACACGGCACAAACUCCUACGGGAGGCAGCAGUAGGGAAUCUUCGGCAAUGGACGAAAGUCUGACCGAGCAACGCCGCGUGAGGGAAGAAGGUUUUCGGAUCGUAAAACUCUGUUGGUAGAGAAGAACGUUGGUGAGAGUGGAAAGCUCAUCAAGUGACGGUAACUACCCAGAAAGGGACGGCUAACUACGUG
rnacentral:rRNA from 1 species